CUAAAAUGCACAGGUCGUGAGUUCGAUGAGUAGGGCGGGACACGUGACAUCCUGUCUGAAUAUGGGGGGACCAUCCUCCAAGGCUAAAUACUCCUGACUGACCGAUAGUGAACCAGUACCGUGAGGGAAAGGCGAAAAGAACCCCGGCGAGGGGAGUGAAAUAGAACCUGAAACCGUGUACGUACAAGCAGUGGGAGCACCUUCGUGGUGUGACUGCGUACCUUUUGUAUAAUGGGUCAGCGACUUAUAUUUUGUAGCAAGGUUAACCGUAUAGGGGAGCCGUAGGGAAACCGAGUCUUAACUGGGCGAAUAGUUGCAAGGUAUAGACCCGAAACCCGGUGAUCUAGCCAUGGGCAGGUUGAAGGUUGGGUAACACUAACUGGAGGACCGAACCGACUAAUGUUGAAAAAUUAGCGGAUGACUUGUGGCUGGGGGUGAAAGGCCAAUCAAACCGGGAGAUAGCUGGUUCUCCCCGAAAGCUAUUUAGGUAGCGCCUCGUGAACUCAUCUUCGGGGGUAGAGCACUGUUUCGGCUAGGGGGCCAUCCCGGCUUACCAAACCGAUGCAAACUCCGAAUACCGAAGAAUGUUAUCACGGGAGACACACGGCGGGUGCUAACGUCCGUCGUGAAGAGGGAAACAACCCAGACCGCCAGCUAAGGUCCCAAAGUCAUGGUUAAGUGGGAAACGAUGUGGGAAGGCAUAGACAGCCAGGAUGUUGGCUUAGAAGCAGCCAUCAUUUAAAGAAAGCGUAAUAGCUCACUGGUCGAGUCGGCCUGCGCGGAAGAUGUAACGGGGCUAAACCAUGCACCGAAGCUGCGGCAGCGACGCUUAG
rnacentral:rRNA from 1 species